AUUCCCGUACGAUCACCGCAGUUAAGCAACGUCGAACCCAAUCAGUACCUAGAUGGGUGACCAUUUGGGAUACCAGGUGCUGUAA